GAUGAACGCUGGCGGCGUGCCUAAUACAUGCAAGUCGAGCGAACCGACGAGGAGCUUGCUCCCCUGACGUUAGCGGCGGACGGGAGAGUAACACGUGGAUAACCUAACUCUAAGACUGGGAUACUUUCGGGAAACCGGAGCUACUACCGGAUAAUUUAUUGAACCGCAUGGUUCAAUAGUGAAAGACGGUUUUGCUGUCACUUAUAGAUUGAUCCGCGCCGGAUUAGCUAGUUGGUAAGGUAACGGCUUACCAAGGCAACGAUGCGUAGCCGACCUGAGAGCGUGGUCGGACAGCCGGGAACUGAGAAACAGUACAGACACCGACGGUAGGCAACGGUAGAGAAUCUUCCGCGAGGGAGGAGAGCGGGACGGUGCAACACCGCGUGAGGGAUGAAGGUCUUCGGAUGGGAGAGCGCUGUUAGUAGGAGAGAAGUAAAGUGUUUGUAACCGGGCUCAUCAUGACGGUACCGGGACAAUAAGCCACGGCUAACUACGUG
rnacentral:rRNA from 1 species